rnacentral:tRNA from 1 species
GCCCGCAUAGCUCAGCCUGGAUAGAGCAACUGCCUUCUAAGCAGUGGGUCGCAAGUUCAAAUCUUGCUGUGGGUA